rnacentral:rRNA from 1 species
ACCCGCUGAAUUUAAGCAUGUAGGUGAGUGGAGGAGGAUACGUCAAUUGAGUUUCCAUCAGUAAUGGCGAAUGAACAUGGACUGGCUCAGUGUGGUAACCGGGGCCUGUGGCCCUGACUCGUAGCCUCGAGGUGCGAUGCCAGAGUGACGUUGCUGAUGUGUACCUUCUGGAAAGGAGUGUCCGUGAGGGUGAGAACUCCAUGUGUCAUUUUAAGCCCCUCGUGCACGGCAUGCGCUGCAGGAGUCACGCUUCUCAGGCCUGGAGCACGAAUCGGGCCGCAAACUGCACCUGCAGGUGAAUAUCAACCCAAUGUCGAGAGUAAACACGUACCCUGAGGGGAAGGUGAAUAAGGACUUUUUUUGAAGAGAGUUAACAGUGCCUGAACUUGCUGAAGGUAAAGCAUACUACGUCAAAGUAAGCUGGUGGGAUUGCUUCGGGUGACCACCUCACCAUACGUGUGCAAGCAGUGGGUAGGUCGAGUGGUGGUGCCAGAGUGGUUCUCGCCUUGUCUGUCAGUUGGUGCGUGUGUGUGGGGCAGAAGCUUGAGUGUGGCAGUCUUCUGGCGGGUGGGCGAGCCUGAUAGCUUACAUCUCUGCACAUGCACUUGGUGGCCAAAUGGUCAAUAUGGCCCGUCUUGAAACACGGACCAAGGAGUAGAACCAUUUACAAGUUGGUUGGUGCAAACCCUGGUUGGGCAGUAAAAGCAAAUCCUGGUGUCCAUUUGUCAGCGGCCGACCAUCAGUUAAGGAUGAGUGCGAGUAUGAGUGUGAGUGCCAGGACCCGAAAGAUGGUGAACUAUGCCUAUGAAGAGCAAACGCAGGGGAAACCCUGAUGGAGGCCCGCCGUGUUACUGACGCGCAAAUCGUUCGCCAUACAUGGGCAUGGGGGCGGAAGACUAAUCGAACCAUCUGGUAGCUGGUUACCUCCGAUGUUGCCCUCAGGAUAGCUGCGGCUGGACAGCUUCACCAGGUAAAGCGCAUGUCUAGAGGACGUGGGGGCAUGCUGCCCUUGGCCUACUCUCAAACUUUAAAUGGGCGAGGUUCAGUGGUUGCUCGUGUGAUCCACUUAGCAAGUUACAGCUCCAGGUGGACCAUAUUUGGUGGGCAGAACUUGUGAUGAGGGAUGAUCUUAACAUUGGGUUAAGGCACUUCACUGCUUGCCUAGCAGAUACCAUAACAGGUGGUCAUGGAAGUUGAGAGUUGCUAGGGAGUGUGCAACAACUCACCUGCCGAAUGGGCUGGCCCUGAGAACGGAUGGCACCCAAAGCGAGUGGCCAGCUCCCAAAUCAUCGAAACAACCAUGUUGGGCCAAUGAGUAGGAGUUUGCAACAGGGCUUGUGGCGAACAUUCUUGGUGUGAGCCUGGGCGGAUCAGCCCCACGUGCAGAUCUUGGUGGUAGUAGC